rnacentral:rRNA from 1 species
GACGAACGCUUGCGGCGUGCUUAACACAUGCAAGUCGAACGGAAAGGCCCUGCUUUUGUGGGGUGCUCGAGUGGCGAACGGGUGAGUAACACGUGAGUAACCUGCCCUUGACUUUGGGAUAACUUCAGGAAACUGGGGCUAAUACCGGAUAGGAGCUCCUGCUGCAUGGUGGGGGUUGGAAAGUUUCGGCGGUUGGGGAUGGACUCGCGGCUUAUCAGCUUGUUGGUGGGGUAGUGGCUUACCAAGGCUUUGACGGGUAGCCGGCCUGAGAGGGUGACCGGCCACAUUGGGACUGAGAUACGGCCCAGACUCCUACGGGAGGCAGCAGUGGGGAAUAUUGCACAAUGGGCGGAAGCCUGAUGCAGCAACGCCGCGUGCGGGAUGACGGCCUUCGGGUUGUAAACCGCUUUCGCCUGUGACGAAGCGUGAGUGACGGUAAUGGGUAAAGAAGCACCGGCUAACUACGUGCCAGCAGCCGCGGUGAUACGUAGGGUGCGAGCGUUGUCCGGAUUUAUUGGGCGUAAAGGGCUCGUAGGUGGUUGAUCGCGUCGGAAGUGUAAUCUUGGGGCUUAACCCUGAGCGUGCUUUCGAUACGGGUUGACUUGAGGAAGGUAGGGGAGAAUGGAAUUCCUGGUGGAGCGGUGGAAUGCGCAGAUAUCAGGAGGAACACCAGUGGCGAAGGCGGUUCUCUGGGCCUUUCCUGACGCUGAGGAGCGAAAGCGUGGGGAGCGAACAGGCUUAGAUACCCUGGUAGUCCACGCUGUAAACGGUGGGUACUAGGUGUGGGGUCCAUUCCACGGGUUCCGUGCCGUAGCUAACGCUUUAAGUACCCCGCCUGGGGAGUACGGCCGCAAGGCCAAAACUCAAAGGAAUUGACGGGGCCCCGCACAAGCGGCGGAGCAUGCGGAUUAAUUCGAUGCAACGCGUAGAACCUUACCUGGGUUUGACAUGGAUCGGGAGUGCUCAGAGAUGGGUGUGCCUCUUUUGGGGUCGGUUCACAGGUGGUGCAUGGCUGUCGUCAGCUCGUGUCGUGAGAUGUUGGGUUAAGUCCCGCAACGAGCGCAACCCUUGUUCACUGUUGCCAGCACGUUAUGGUGGGGACUCAGUGGAGACCGCCGGGGUCAACUCGGAGGAAGGUGGGGAUGACGUCAAGUCAUCAUGCCCCUUAUGUCCAGGGCUUCACGCAUGCUACAAUGGCUGGUACAGAGAGUGGCGAGCCUGUGAGGGUGAGCGAAUCUCGGAAAGCCGGUCUCAGUUCGGAUUGGGGUCUGCAACUCGACCUCAUGAAGUCGGAGUCGCUAGUAAUCGCAGAUCAGCAACGCUGCGGUGAAUACGUUCCCGGG